GAUCCUGGCUCAGGAUGAACGCUAGCUACAGGCUUAACACAUGCAAGUCGAGGGGCAGCAUGGGAUUAGCUUGCUAAUCCUGAUGGCGACCGGCGCACGGGUGAGUAACGCGUAUCCAACCUUCCCCUUACUCAGGGAUAGCCCGGUGAAAACCGGAUUAACACCUGAUGGUUUCAUUAGAUGGCAUCUGACGAUGAAUAAAGGCUUACGGUAAGGGAUGGGGAUGCGUCUGAUUAGCUUGUUGGCGGGUAACGGCCACCAAGGCUACGAUCAGUAGGGGUUCUGAGAGGAAGGUCCCCCACAUUGGAACUGAGACACGGUCCAAACUCCUACGGGAGGCAGCAGUGAGGAAUAUUGGUCAAUGGGCGAGAGCCUGAACCAGCCAAGUAGCGUGCAGGAUGACGGCCCUAUGGGUUGUAAACUGCUUUUGUACGGGAAUAAAGUCAUCCACGUGUGGAUGUUUGCAUGUACCGUAAGAAUAAGGACCGGCUAAUUCCGUGCCAGCCGCGGC
rnacentral:rRNA from 1 species